GGGGAAUCUUCCGCAAUGGGCGAAAGCCUGACGGAGCAACGCCGCGUGAGUGAAGACGGCCUUCGGGUUGUAAAGCUCUGUUAUACGGGACGAAAAGUCUUGUGGUUAAUACUCAUGAGAAGUGACGGUACCGUAAGAGAAAGCCACGGCUAACUACGUGCCAGCAGCCGCGGUAAUACGUAGGUGGCAAGCGUUGUCCGGAAUUAUUGGGCGUAAAGGGCGCGCAGGCGGCUUCUUAAGUCUGUCUUAAAAGUGCGGGGCUUAACCCCGUGAUGGGAUGGAAACUGGGAAGCUCAGAGUAUCGGAGAGGAAAGCGGAAUUCCUAGUGUAGCGGUGAAAUGCGUAGAUAUUAGGAGGAACACCAGUGGCGAAAGCGGCUUUCUGGACGAAAACUGACGCUGAGGCGCGAAAGCCAGGGGAGCGAACGGGAUUAGAUACCCCGGUAGUCCUGGCCGUAAACGAUGGGUACUAGGUGUAGGAGGUAUCGACCCCUUCUGUGCCGGAGUUAACGCAAUAAGUACCCCGCCUGGGGAGUACGGCCGCAAGGUUG
rnacentral:rRNA from 1 species